UACAGAGGGUGCGAGCGUUAAUCGGAAUUACUGGGCGUAAAGCGCGCGUAGGCGGCUUUGCAAGUCGGGUGUGAAAUCCCCAGGCUUAACCUGGGAACUGCAUUCGAGACUGCAUUGCUAGAGUAUGGGAGAGGGCAGUGGAAUUUCCGGUGUAGCGGUGAAAUGCGUAGAUAUCUGGAGGAACACCGGUGGCGAAGGCGGCAUCCUGGACCAACACUGACACUGAGGAGCGAAAGCCAGGGGAGCAAACGGG
rnacentral:rRNA from 1 species